rnacentral:rRNA from 1 species
AGCGAACGCUGGCGGCAGGCCUAACACAUGCAAGUCGAGGGGUAGAGGAAGCUUGCUUCCUUGAGACCGGCGCACGGGUGCGUAACGCGUAUGCAAUCUACCUUUUACAGAGGGAUAGCCCAGAGAAAUUUGGAUUAAUACCUCAUAGUAUUUUCGAAUGGCAUCAUUUGAUUAUUAAAGUUCCAACGGUAAAAGAUGAGCGUGCGUCCUAUUAGCUAGAUGGUAAGGUAACGGCUUACCAUGGCAACGAUAGGUAGGGGUCCUGAGAGGGAGAUCCCCCACCAUGGUACUGAGACACGGACCAGACUCCUACGGGAGGCAGCAGUGAGGAAUAUUGGACAAUGGGCGCAAGCCUGAUCCAGCCAUGCCGCGUGCAGGAAGACGCAUCUAUGGUGUGUAAACUGCUUUUGUACGGGAAGAAACACUCCCUCGUGAGGGAGCUUGACGGUACCGUAAGAAUAAGGAUCGGCUAACUCCGUGCCAGCAGCCGCUGUAACAC